rnacentral:rRNA from 1 species
ACAGCCCAGACUACCAUUUAAGGCCCCUAAAUAUUUGCUAAGUGAUAAAGGAGGUGAAAAUACAUAGACAACCAGGAGGUUGACUUAGAGGCAGUAAUCCUUUAAAAAGUGCGUAAUAGCUUACUGGUUAAGUGUUUUCGCACCGAAAAUGAACGGGACUAAGCAAAUUGCCGAAGAUGUAGGAUACUCUGUAUCGGUAGAAGAGCGUACUGUUUUUGAUUGAAGCUUUGAUGUAAAUCUUGGUGGACUAAACAGUAGUGAGAAUGUCGGCUUAAGUAACGAAAACAAUGGUUGAAAUCCAUUGCUCCGUAAACCUAAGGUUUCCUUUGGAAGGUUCGUCCGCAAAGGGUUAAUCAGGUCCUAAAAUAAAAUUGAAAAAUUUAGUUGAUGGGUGACAGGUUAAUAUUCCUGUAUUAUAUAUUAUUUGCUAAGAGUGACGGAGGAGACUAUUGUCCAGAUCAAAUUUGGUCGUUUUGGUUCAAUCUUUGCAGUCUUGUUGAAAUAUUAUAAAAAAUAUUUUGAUUUGUGAGGAUUGUAAAAGGCAUUACGGUGUUAUAAAUGGGCAAUUUCAUACUUCCUAGAAAAACUUUGGUAGUUUGUAAUAAUAUAUACCUGUACCGUAAACUGACACAGGUGGGUUGGUAGAAAAUACUAAGGAGCGCGAGAUAACCUUUUCUAAGGAACUCGGCAAAAUGGCUCUGUAACUUCGGGAGAAGGAGUACCUACUUAUGGUAGGUCGCAGAAAAAAGGUCCAUACGACUGUUUAUCAAAAACACAGGUCUCUGCUAAGUUGAAAAACGAUGUAUAGGGGCUGACGCCUGCCCAGUACGGGAAGGUUAAAGAAAUUGGUUAGCUUUCGCGAAGCUGAUGACUGAAGCCCCCGUGAACGGCAGCAAUAAAUAUAAUUGUUCUAAGGUAGCGAAAUUCCUUGUCAGGUAAGUUCUGACCCGCACGAAAGGCGUAACGAUAUGGAUACUGUCUCAGAAAAGGACUCGGUGAAAUAGAAUUGACUGUGAAGAUGCGGUCUACCUGCACUUGGACAGAAAGACCCUAUGAAGCUUUACUAUAGCCUGAUAUUGGUUUUGAAUUUCUUUUGCGCAGUAUAGGUGGGAGGCGUUGAACCACUUUUUUGGAAGUUGGAGAGCCUAAAUGUGAGAUACCACUCUUAAAAAAUUUGGAAUCUAAUGAUAUUUUAGAUAUGAUAUUUGACAGUUUCAGGUGGAUAGUUUUACUGGGGCGGUAGCCUCCUAAAAAGUAACGGAGGCAUGCAAAGGUUUUUUCAGUUUGUGUGGAAAUCAAAUGUAGAGUGUAAAGAUAUAAGAAAGCUUGAUUGUGAGACGUACUUGUCAAACAAAGACGAAAGUCGGCCUUAGUGAUCCGACAGUGCUUAGUGGAAAGGCUGUCGCUAAAUGGAUAAAAGUUACUCUAGGGAUAACAGGCUGAUCUCCCCCAAGAGUUCACAUCGACGGGGAGGUUUGGCACCUCGAUGUCGGCUCAUCGCAUCCUGAGGCAGUAGUAUGUUUCAAGGGUUGGGCUGUUCGCCCAUUAAAGCGGUACGUGAGCUGGGUUCAGAACGUCGAGAGACAGUUCGGUCCAUAUCCGGUGUGGGCGUUAGAACAUUGAAAAUUGCUUUUCCUAGUACGAGAGGACCGGAAAGGACACACCGCUAGUGUACCAGUUUUCGUACCAACGGAAUACGUUGGGUAGUUAUGUGUGGAGUGGAUAACUGC